GGAUGAAUCGAAACCGCAGUUUCUGUUUCGGGCUUUCCCUAACUUUCGAUCGAUAAGUCUUCGGUCUCCGACCGAUAUUCUCGUUUGUUAUUUGCUUUAAAGUUACUUUGAUUAUUCUCAUAUUUUAGAAAAUUUACCUGGCACUGUAGUCGAGGAAAAGAAGUUGGUUGUGUCGAAAAUCGAGGUUUUUUUUUAUUUUCAUUCUCUUAAAAAUUGGUGAAAAUAAAUAUGGAUUUUCACAAUUUAUAUCACAAAAGGAUAUGUUAUCGUAGUUUUUAGUAUUGAUUUCUUUUUGGUAUAUAAAUACAAUUUGUAACAAUAUGUUUGUUAGUUAUGUACGAAAAAGUCAUUUGUAAAAUUCGGGGCAAAGCAAGACUUUGAAGGCCGAUGACAACGCCCGCUAAUAGAAGAGAACCUGCGACUAGACAUUUUCCGUUGGUGGCAUUUUGGACACCUGUCGAUAUAAAACAAUGCAAGAUUUAUCACAUUAAUCGUAAACUUCCUGAUUUGAAGCUGCACAUACAAUCAUGCAUCGAAGCAAGAAAGGAGUAGAUGCUUGAAACCAUUGAAGGUUCCACAGAGGAACAGAUACAAGAACCUCGAGGGAUUUUACAUUUCAGAGAAAACAGAAAAGGAGAAAGUCGGCAAAAACAAAUAGUUUAAAUCAUCAAAUAAAGAACGAAACAGUAGUCUAAUAUAAUAUAUAUGUUAAAAUAUUAUACAGAUUAAAGCAAAUGUCAAGGAACUUGCAAACUUGGUCAACCAAGUUGUGACGGUGGAAAAAGUAAAUUUUUAUUUUUUAUGUACAGCAGAAUGACAAAAUAAAGUAAACUUUAAGUAUUUAUGCAUGGGAUUUUUAUUGCACUAGUUCUUCGCUUACAUGUAUCACAGGACAUGAUUAAAUCUUGGGAAAAUGAAAUAAUUUCUCUAAUAAUAAUAUAUAUUUUUAUUUAUUUUCCUUUGUUUUUGAAUAAAUACUAUAAUAAUGUUCAUGUCACUCUUUGGAAUACGGCACGUUUCAAAUGACUUGGGUAUGUUAUUAUUCGGUGGCAGUAUUUAAAUCCUGGUUUAUCAAAUAAUGUGUGGGCGAGUGUCCAAACGAAACUGAAAAUAUUCGGAAGAGCUAGUAGGCGUUCCUGGUUUGCAUUGUAUAUCUUGGCUUACCUUAUAUCCGAAGCAGGAAAAGGGACAGUGUGGAUUGGACAAACCAACCUUGGUUCGAUUCCAAGGCUUAAUAAUAAUUUGAACUUAUUCCUUAUCACUGUGGGUAGAUUACGGGCAACAAAUUUAGCCUCAAAUCUUAUUAAAAUAUUCUCUAUUGAUCUUUGUUUCAAAUAAUAGAUGAAAAUUCCAACAAAUUAAAAAACCCGCACUUUGUUUUGGCAUUUUGGGGAUUCCACGAAAGUGCAGUUAGGUGUCAAAGUAACGUAUGGUUCAUACUUCAUAUCCCAACUAUGUAAUAACAAUUUCUCUCUCUAUCUGAACUAGUGAAGUGAGUUGUAAAUCAGUGGUAGAUCGGCUGCCUCCGUUAAAAAACAAUUUUGUGUUAAUAUCAAAUAAAAAGAAUAUUUACCACUGUCACAUUUUAUGUGUUCAUGCGCAUUACAGUACUUCCGAUAUAAUCGGCUACUGAUCUGCUAAUUGGUCUAUUUAAAUGCGUGAUACAUGCGACAUAAAUAUAUAUGUAUAAACUUUUUGUUUGUUGCACUAUUGUUCUGUUUGGCAUUGUCAAAAAGGUACCAACUGGCAUGUCAUAUGCAAAUCUUGAAUGCCAUUCGUCGUAUU